GUUAAUGUAGCUUAACCAAAAGCAAAGCACUGAAAAUGCUUAGAUGGACCAUGACAAGUCCCAUAAACA